AUCUGCGGCAAUGGGAGCGUCCGCUACGCCUACCAGAGCAUCACAAGUGACAACUACAUCAUAUACACUGGCGCGACGACGCUGACCAGAUGCCUCCUGAGAAACAUCGCCCAUUCACCCGAGGUGCUGUUCGCCAGCAUCGACCUAGGCACCACCACUCUGCUCAUCCUGGCCUUCGUCUACGAGGAAGUCGUGGAGGUCCUCGUCUUUAUCCUCUCCAAUUGGCUCAUCGUGUCGCUCCUCUGUCAGUACACCGCCAAGCGCCACUGGCGGCAGAGCCGCAUGGUAUGUUGGCUCAUCCGCGGCAUCCUGUGGGUGCGAAGCAUGCUAAGCCACCCUAACCUCAGCUUCAAGCAGCUCUCCGUGCUAAGGUUCUUCCAACUGUCGUCGCCUUCGCCGAUCAUGGUGCCAACCAAGGCAGUGCCCAAGGAAGUGAUGGAGUCGAUCGUGGAUUAUCUGGUGGUUCACUUGGAUGUCUACGGCAUCGAUGGCCAUGACGACCCUCUCAAUUCGGCCUGGUCCUCCACACUGCAACAGGAGAAGCACAGGGCAUACCGUCCCCUGCUCUUGCCGGUGUGUGAGAGCAAGAGCAUCGCUGAGUUCAUCCUCACCUGUCACAUUGCCACCGCCCUAAUGGAGGUGAGGUACCCGCAGGACGAAAAGGAAAUGGGAUCUCAUCGCAAGGUGGCGACGACGCUGUCCAAGUACUGCACUUACUUGGUGGGCUUUUACCCAGGGCUUCUUCCGGACGACAAGAAUGGGACAAAGCACACUUACAAGAAGAUGAAGGAGGACAUGAACAAGGAGCUUGGAGGGUGCUGGUGGUACCACCUGUCGCUGCAGGGAACCAGGUACAAGAGGCUGAUGGAGAUCGGCGAAUCGAAGCAGAAGGCCGUGACAAUGGUGCGCAACGGGGCCAGGUUAGGGACAGCACUGAUCGAGAAGGCCGAGGAGAACAACGAGGCGCGUGAUCGCGUGUGGGAGCUGCUGAACGACCUUUGGACGGAGGUCAUGGUGUAUGUGGCGCCGUCGGCCGGCGACCUCCACGUGAAAGCCCACAAGGAGGCGCUGGCGCGCGGCGGUGAGUUCAUCACCGUGCUUUGGGUGCUGUGUACGCACACCGGCAUGACCAGGCCAGCCCUCGCACCGUGGGAGGUAGCACGUCAUGCGUUUGAACCAUAGAGCAUUAUUGGCUUCCCGUGUGUGCCGAUCUUUCGAGGACAGCUUGCUUGGGAUGGUUCAUCUCACAUGCUCCAUUCCGCUACUAACGCUAACAUUAGUACCGCGUCAUAAUGUGACCGGUACUAAGGGAGUGGACGAAAGAUAUAUUAAAAAUAGAUAUAUAGCCACCCGUUGUGAAUGCAUGGGUUGAUGCCAGUAAUUCCUAGAAAACGAGGCCAACCACAACCUCUUCAUCCACUUCUCCGACGUGAGCGCACAAUUCUCAACACUAGUAAGAAACAGAGCUUUAGUCCCGGUUUUUUAGUCCCGGUUGGUAAGGAUCAUAGAUCCCAAAAAUCCAAUCGAGACUAACUAUUCAAGGCUAAAUGACUCCUUUAGUCCCGGGUCAUUCACCUGGGACUAAAGGUGCCCUUUAGUUCCGGUUGGUGUUACCAAGCGAGACUAAAAAAAUUCCAAAAAAAAUAAAAAAAGCCAUCCGCGCCCGCCGCCCGCCUGCCUCCCACGGCCGCGCUGGCCUCAUGCUGCCCGCCCGCGCCCACGCCGACCACGUGCUACGACCCGCCCGCACCCACCCGACCGACCGCCCGCGUCGGAGCAUGGAAGAAAGGGAGAGGAGGAAGAAGAAGAGAUAAGGUGGAGAGGCCCUGCGUGGGAGAUAAGAAAGGGAGGGGAGGAGAUAAGUGGAGAGAAAGGGAGGCGACGAGAUUUUGUCUUGGUUGGAAUUUCCAACCGCGACAAAAGAUUUACUUCCGGUUGGAAUUUCCAACCGGGAUAAGGGUGGCGUCGAUGUCAGAUUUUUUAGCUGUUAGAACCAAGCCUACAACCGUGACUAAAGCCCCUUCAGUCGGUGGCCUUUGGUGCCUCAUACCUGGGACUAAAGUCACUUUAGUUCCGAGUCCAAAGUCAACCAAGAUAAAAGCAUCAAGAUGGAAGGUCAGUUCUCUAGUAUUGCAAGCCUAGUGUCUGCCACCUCCUCUCCACCAACAUGUCCCUCUUUCUGCAUGUAACACUUUCACACAUGCAUGUAACUUGAUUAAUCUUCUCAUGCGUGUUCACAACAAACGCAUGGAUGAAAAACAUGUCAAGAUUAAUUUCCAACACUUUUUUCUUCUAUAGAUAGUUUCCACUAAGUGGUUCACCACAUAAUAAAAUUUAGAUACUUGUCUCUGCAUAUCAUCGAUCAAUGUUGUUAGAGGGAUACAACAUUAUCAUUGUGUACAUCAUAUCAAUGACCGAACUUCAACUAUUAUAGAUACUGUUAUACUGUUAGCAAUGCAUAUAUCUCAAAUAUUAUUGCUUCUCUUUAAUUAGCUAAAGAAUAGGAUGCUAGAAUGAAAACGUCAAAAGAAAAAACAUAAUGAUGAAGGCAUCAGGUCCUCUCUUUUGGGGGCCAAGAUUCCUGCUGAUAUUGAUAACAAAAGAAGGAUACCAUGGGUUCUCUCCCAUUUGGAACUAUAUGUGACAAAAGUUAUGCCAGUACCUUAAAUGCUAAGGCUUGCUCAUCUUUUGAAUUUUUGUUCUUUGGCGGCCCCUGUCAUUUGAGCCUUUUGAUAAAGUAAAGGAGAGGAGAAUAAGCGCUAAAGGAAAGACCAACUGCUAUGGUGUUACCCGAACACCAUUGGCGGCAUCUUUCGAUUUACAGUACAUGCAGGCACGCCAAUACUCUCCUUCAAUCGUGUGCUUGCAGAACCUAUGAAAACGAUGCUCAUGCUUUGCAAGGGCACGGAAAUUUCGACUCAGAACGUGUCCAGAGGAAAUGGGCCCACUCGUAUGAUUCAUGGGAACAUGAACAAACAGAGACGUUCAGAUUCAGAAGUAUGGAAUUUGCAAGUCCCCGCAACCCACCGCCCCCACGUUGCUCCCGCAUGAGUGACACUGGUGGACGAAACCCUCGCCGCUGCCGCCCCUUCCUCCCUCUCCCCACCGCUGUGCCACCGCCCAAGCCGGCCGCUGAAAGCCUACGCGUCUCAUGAGGACGGCGGCGGUGGGGCGGCCUGCUUCUCCCCUUGAUCUCCUGGUGGGCGUGGCCGCUGUGGAGGUCAGAGGGAGUCGCCCGUAGGGCGACACACGGCCGUGACAGCGAGGCCGGAUCCGGGGCCCCUGUGGCCGGAUCCGGGGCCCUCGAUGCCGGAUCUGUCUCCAAGUGCGGUGGCGGUGGCUUCCCCCACGCGGGGCAGUGGUCACCCUGCCCGGUGCGGAAGCUGCACGAGCGGUGUGCGCCAGGGUGGAUGCCGCGCGGUGGCGGCUGCGUGGGCCAAGGCUGAGCAAGGGGCGAAGUGGGCGGCCGCGGUCCUAUGGCAAGGUGGGGUCAACGUGCAGGCCUCCUUCGAUGACUACCUCCAGGACCGCACCAUGUUCCCCGACGAGAGCAAGAGCCAGCGGAUCAGUGAUGGGGAGUGGCGGGUCCAGAUGCUGCUGCUGCAAUUCCUCCUCGUCACAGUGCGCCCUGUGGUCAUCAUGCAGCUGCAACACCGCACUGGUGGGCUCGACCCCAGUGGCGACAUCUGCAGUCCUCGGCGGUGAGCUCCUAGGGAGCGGUGACAGUGUGAAGGCGACAACGGCGAUCUGGGUGGUGCGGCGGUGGUCCCGAUGCGAGGCAAAGAAGGCACAUGGUAGCAGGGGCCGCUAGGAGGUGGGGACACGGAGGAGGCGCCGAAGGACAAGACGAGGAGGAGGUGUCGGGCAUACACCUCAGGGCCACGAGUAGGCCUUGUACGGCCCACCCAGGGGCGUACUCGGACAUGAGCAGGAGUUGGAAGCUAUGUCACAGGGUAACGUAGCCUACACGGACUACUGAAGACUAGUCUUGGUGCAUAAGGAAACUACUCUACCUAGUUGGAGUAGGACUCUGUAAUCAUAAUCGACUAGGAUUCCACCCUGUAACCCUGCUCCCCCGAUAUAUAAGGGUAGGCAGGGACCCCCUCCAAAGAACCAACUCAUACGCAAUACAAACAUCACACAAGACGUAGGGUAUUACGCGUUCUAGCGGCCCAAACCUGUCUAAAUCGUGUGCCUUGCAUCACCAUCAACUCCUUGAUUCUCGACGUCUCCACCACACAAAAUACCUCCUAGAGGACUCCCUAAGCGGGUUGCCGGUCUAAAACACCAACAGCUGGCGCACCAGGUAGGGGAAGUCGCCGAGUUUCUUAGCGCGAGAUCGAUGGCACCAAUUGUCAUCAAGCCAGCGCUCGCUUUCAAAGCAGGCGCAACUUUCAUCUUCGACUCCUGGCUUUGCAUCACCAACGGCGCCGGAUCCUUCCAGUGCUACCUCAUCGACAACCGGGAGAAAGAGCAUCUCAACGAAAACCCUCUUCGUAAAGAAGCAGACAGCCUCAUCGAGAAAAUCGACAAAUUCAAUCUCAGAUCAAGAUUCGACUACAACUCGAAGUCCAACGACGACUCCGAGUUCGACUACAACUCGAAGUCUGACUAUGACUCCAUUUUUAGUUUCGAGUUCAACCCCAACUUGGGGUCCAACUACAACUCCAAAUCAUAUCCAGGUCAAACUCCAUUCGGACUCCACAACGCAGCCACGGUCCAUCACUCCUUACUCGAAUCCAAUUCGGACUAGAGUCGAAGGAAGACUAUGCUACGACUCGGAUACACCCGAAGAGUUCAUCAGCAACUGCCACAGCUUCGUCGAUGACGACUUCCACGGGCGGCUCGCCGGUGACUUCUCCGACUACGUCGCGGCGCUCACUUAUGACUAUGGGCGGCUUGCUAACAAUUUCUUGGACUAUGUCAUGGUACUCGCCGACGACUACUUCAACAGGUGGCUCACCGGUGACUUCUCUGACUACGUCGUGGUGCUCACUGAUGAGUACGGGCGGCUCACCGACAAUUUCUCAGACUACGUCAUGGCACUCACCGACGACUACUUCGCUUGGCGACACACCGACGAAAACUUUGUCUGCUCACUGACGACUUCUCCGACUACGACACAGCGCUGGCUGACGACUAUGGGCGGCUCGCCGAUGAUUUCUCGGACUACAUCGUGGCACUCGACGACGGCUACUUCGACGGACGGCUCCCCGACGACUAAUCCGACUUUGCGACGUCCCUCGGCGACCCACCGAUGACUACUUCAACUUCGCGCGGGCGCUCGACAACUCGUUGAUGGCUACUUCGCUCGGCGCACACCAACGAAUACUUCGACUGCUCACCGACGACUUCUUCGACUACGUUGCGAUGCUCGUCAACGACUACUUCGACGGGUGACUCGCUAGUGACUACGUCGACUACUUGUCCCGACUAGAAAACUAGUCGGGGCAGAUUUCGCACCAUCAACGACUGGUCGGAACCGACUCCGACUAGUCAGCUUCGUCAACAACCGUCAUGGUUUCAUUGACGACCACCUUGGCUUCAUCGACAAUCAUCGACGAAUCAAGCUAAGUCUCUUUUCUGACAAUUUCCUAGCUUGAUUUCCUCUUGCGCACAAUACGCGCUCUACUCGCUAGAGGGCAGCAAACUCUCGCGCACAACACGCACUCUACUCACCGGAGGGCAGCAAAACUCUUGUGCAAUCGUGCUUGCUUUUUGUCGCAGCAGCGACUACUCACUUUUGUCUUCUCUUAAGAUCACUACUCUUCUCAAGAUGAACUUGCCUUGACACGUGAACGCCUCAGGUGCACCUGUGACGCCAAAUGCUAGCACACAUACACGAGACCACGCUCUUAGUUGUGCACAUAGCAAUGCCCAUACAUGUAUAUGAGACAACGCUCUCACACAUGCAAUGGCUACGGCUAAAUGGGGACUAAGAGCCUAAACGUAAUAGGCUAAAUGCUCGAGAAGAAUAUGAUCAAAAUAAGAGCAUGACACACAAUAUUUCAUAUUGAUCACUGAAUAACUUUCAGUAGUUUCAAUAUUCUACAAAAAUGCUACAUAUUGUACGCAUCUUUUCUUUCAAGUCAAACUUUGGCGAUGACGCUCGUCGUGUCACUAAGCAUGCCUCUAACGGCAUAGACUAGUUCCCGAACUCGGGGACUAAGCACCAAUCACUACUCGGGAUAUCUCUAGUGACUCAGCUAGCUCCUAGGCUCGGGGGCUAGACGCCGCAAAACUACUCGAUGUGGCUCCUACGGCUCGCCCAGCGCAUAAGCUCGGGGGCUGGAUGCCGCAAAACUACUCGGAUGAUGACUUACGCAGAGAUUCAAGAUCCUUGAGAUGAUUAUUCAAUCAAUUCAAGGCUCGAGGGCUGAUAAGCUACACCCAUCAGUUGAUUUUUUGUCAAGCCGGAAGAAAAAGUUUCAAGAUUUUGACCCUCAGCCUGAUUCUACGAGUCAACCUAAGGCUCAGGGGCUCCUCCAUAUGGAGUGUGAUUGUCAUCGCACUAUCAUAUAAAGAUUCAAGACAAAGGCUACUUGAAGCAACGUUACGCAAAGCAGAGAGUACCUUCCAGCCAUGUGACAGUACUCGGUUACUCGAAGGCUAGCCACCACGAGAAGCGCUCAAAAAGCACCAGAUAGUACUCGGGCAACCUCUUCAAGUACUCUGAGCUGUUCCACUCGACUACAAAGUACUCGGGGGCUUGUCAGGCAUACAUCCCCAGCCCCACGAGUAGGCCUUGUACGGCCCACCUAGGGGCAUAGUCGGACGUGAUCAAUACUUGGAGGCUACGUCAUAGGGUAACAUAGCCUAAACGGACUCCUGAAGACUAGUCACGGUGCAUAAGGAAACUAUUCUACCCAGUUGGAGUAAGACUCUGUAAUCGUACUCGACGAGGAUUCCACCCUGUAACUCUGCUCCCCCGAUAUAUAAAGGCGGACAGGGACCCCUUCCAAAGAACCAACUCAUAAGCAAUACAAGCAUCAUACAGGAUGUAGGGUAUUACGCGAUCUAGCGGCCCAAACCUAUCUAAAUCGUGUGCCUUACGUGACCAUCGACUUCUUGAUUCUCGACAUCCCCACCGCACAAAAGACCUCAUAGGGGACUCCCUAGGUGGGUUAUCAGUCUAAAACACCGAUAGGAGGUGCGAUGGACAAUAGUGACCCAUCUAGAAGAGCUGCAUGGAGAGGAUGCCGGUGCAGAGGACGGCAACGUGGAGAUGGUCGUGCAAGCGAUGAGGAGCGGAGCGGCGGCUCGAAUGCCACGAGGCCAUUCUGGUGCCGCGGGAACCACUCACAUGCUGACGUUGUGGUGGUGUGAGGAUCUACGCUGGUGGUAGUGGGGGCCAUUGUCGCAGAAAGCUUUGUGUUUGCGCACAUGGUACAACUGAGAUUAUGACGGCGGCAAGGUGGAGGUGAAGUUAUUAGAGUAGCUCGGUGGGACCAUGUCACCCUGAUGGAAAAUCAUGUCUGGAUCCUUGGUAUGGAGUCCAGCGGUGGAAGUGGUGAGAUCCCCGUUUGCUUUAAGGUGAUGUGUACGAGGAGUUGUGUGUGGCGGUGAAUGUGGCUAGAACCCCACACAUUUUGAGUUGCCUUGGAGGGCCAGGAUCCGGUGCAGUGUUUUGAUGGUUGGUGUGUACGGUGCGAUAGCAGUGCUUCGGCGUUGGGUCCUGCAGUGCGGUGGUCGUUUCAGUGUGGUGCAGUGUGCUCCUCCUUUGACUUAUGCUAAUACAAAGCCGUGGAUUGGGAGAUCGAUGACCGUGUGUGUGUGACCUGAGGACGACGACGACAUGGUAGAGAAGCCCUAGUAGCUACACGACUUGCAGCGGACUGCGACGGCCAGUCCUACGUGGCUUCGGCUGGUUUGGCUGGGACAUCGUCGGGGACGAUGGCGCUAGCGAUGAGGGCUACUUGGCGGCUUUUCCUGCUCAGUGGUGGUGGCAUGGUGGUCGCUGCUAGCUCAAGCGUUAGCGUUGAGUGGCUUUGCGUCGACGACCACCCAUAGAGUUCUUUUUUUGUUUUGAGUUGAGUCGGCAUUAUCUGUUGGGAGCUACUUCGGUGGCUCUGUUGUUAUACCCAGUCUAGGAUCUUUCUUCUUUUUAAAUAAUCGACAGCUCUCCUGCCUGGUUUGUUUGAAAAAAAUUCAAAAAUACGGUUGGAUGUAAGAUUAACGAGUUAAUCUUCAUGUAGCAUGUACAUAGACAUGUAACCAAGAAACACAAACUUUUUUACAACGGAACUCAAGUGUAUUUGAGUUGUACAGGCAGAGAUAUGACUAUAGAAAUUGGGGAAGCAGCACUUUGCAUGUAAUAUAGGGUUGAAUAAAUCACCUCUACCGUGGUUUAUACGUCAGUACUGUACAACAAAACCUGGCCACCAUCCCUAAAUUACAUGAUAAAAACUCUAUCAUCUACAACCAACAACUCUAGGUACGGUAGUUGUACACAUUACACGAUAUUGGUACGUAUGUUUAACUUGACCUGAAUGCAUAUGUUUAACCUUGGAGAAGAUAGUCCGAUUCAACCCUUAGAAAUCCUUUAAGAGAUGUGUCCAUGUUAAUCUUGCUACUACUAAUUGGAGAUACCGGAGGAUUCUCAAGUUAAGACGCAUGGGCGGCCGUGCUAGAAAAAAUAAGAUCUCAAAAACUCAUGAAAACAGAAAUUGCACCUCAUCACAAGGUGGACACGGUGCCCUACUGCAGCCCAAGCAACUACUACACUUGCAUUGGUGUUCUUUUCAGACAGUGCUCGCUGCAGGACAAAACGCUGACAGAGAUUUGUUGUUGCCAUUCUAGAAUCGUUUUAGCUGUGGCUUCGUUUCAUUCAGGAUUAAUUUGCAAAAAAAAUGUAUUUUCAGUGGAAAAUAAUGUAACCAGAUUGGCUCGAUUGCCCCAGAAAGAUAUAAUAACUCCAUGCAGUAACAUAUACAUGGUCAUACUUUAAUUAUUGUGCGUACAGUUGUACUACAGCAAGGCAUAUAUCUUAGCUGUCUCUUCGCUUUAACUAAAGAAUUGGAUGCUAGGAUGAAAGAUCCAUGGUUUGGGGCCACUAUUACUAGCUUUCUGCUGAUAUUGAUAACGAACGUAGGAUGGCAUGGGUUCCCUCCCUUUCUACAAAUGGGAGAGAACCCUGGUAUCCUUCUUUCGCUAUCAAUAUCAGCAGGAAUCUUGGCCCCAAAAGAGAGGACCUAAUGCCUUCAUCAUUAUGUUUUUCUUUUGACGCUUUCAUUCUAGCAUCGAUCCUAUUCUUUAGCUAAAGCGAAGCAAUAUUUGAGAUAUAUGCAUUGCUACAGUAUCUAUAAUAAUUGAAGUUCGAUCGUUGAUGUACACAGUAAUGUUAUAUUCCUCUAACAACAUUGAUCGAUGAUAUGCAGAGACAAGUAUCUAAAUUUUAGCUCCAAGUAAGUUUUAACCAAAAGUUUAUCUUAAGGGGUUCCACGACCCAAAUCUGUACUCCCCUAAAAAUAAACUUCAAUGGUAGUCCGACGGACUAUAGGGCCACCUGAUUAAACCUAUGAUUAACGACCAACAUAUCUAUCACUUACUCUCACUAUUUCCUUAUUAUUUGGUGAACCGCUUAGUGGAAACAAUCUAUAGAAGAAAAAUGUGUUGGAAACUAAUCUUGACAUGUUUUUCAUCCAUGCGUUAGUUGUGAACGCGCAUGAGAAGAUUAAUCAAGCUACAUGCAUGUGUGAAAGGGUUACAUGCAUGUGUGUGAAUGCAGUGCAUGCAUGCGCGUAUGGAGAAGACUAGGAUCUGCAUGCAUAUGGAAGCUUAGGGAGUUAUGUGUUACUCAAAGAGUCUCUAGACAAUGUGAAUCGAACGUGUCUUGGUACACUGGUAGAAAACUGAGUAUUAGUCCCAGUUGGAACGUUGCAAAUCUCCCAAAAAACCAUCCGGGAUAAAGCAAUCGAGAUAAAAGGGGGUGUCUUUUAUCCCAGGUCCCUCAACCGGGACUAAAGACACCCUUUAGUCCCAGUUGGUAAUACCAACCAGGACUAAAUGGUUUUGCAAAAAAAAUUAAAAAAUAAAUAAAUUCCUGUGGGGUCCUAGGGAGGCCUCCCCGCGACAAGCCACAAGUCAUGCGAUUUUCACGCGAAAUAUGCGCAUGCGCGGCUCGUGGGAUUCGAACCCACGACCUCAAGCCUCGCGCGUAGCUUCCUUGCCAUCCAACCUACACAUCAUAUCUAACUAUAUAGGGGAUCCAAUCCUUUUAUACUAACUUGUGGGGAACCCUUUAAUCCCGGUUGGAGAUACCAAACGGGAUAAAAGACCCCCUUUUAUCCCGGUUUGCAUUACAAACUGAGAUAAAAGGGUCUGGAACAUUUAUUCCUUCCCCGGAGCACAUGUGGGGGACCAUUUUAUCCCAGUUGGAAACACCAACCGGGAUAAAAGACCCUAUUUUAUUCCGGUUGGUAUUACAAACCGGGAUAAAAGGGUCCGAGGCCUUUAGUUCCUUUUCAGCCACCCGUGAGGGACCCUUUUAUCCCGGUUGGAGUUUCCAACCGGGAUAAAAGACCCCAUUUUAUCCCGUUGGUGUUGUGAGCUUUAGUCCCGGAUGAUAACACCAACCGGGAUUAAAAGGGUGACCUUUAGUCCUGGUUAUUCUUACCAUCCGGGACAAAAGGGUCCCCCACAGGUAGCUAAUUUUUUCACCCGGGACUAAAGGGUCCCCCACGGGUGGCUGAUUUUUGAACUGGGACAAAAGGUAACUUUUAGUUCCGGUUGCAAAUACCAACCGGGAGUAAAGCUCUGCGAACGCCCUUUUGUACCAGCCUUCUUUAAACCGGGAUUAAAAGGAAGCGCAUCGAAAGUUAGUUCUCUACUAAUGGUAGUGUGAAACCCGGUAGUUCCUCAGCUUCUCCUGCUUCGAAUCUGAACUCCCCUCCCCGUGCUGACAGAAAAAGGGGUAUUUAUACCCUAGAGACGCCAUGGUAUAAAAGAGAAGUGGGCGAGGUGAAAGCCCAUGCCGAUCGGCCUAGGUGGGUCCAAGCCGAUCGACCUGGCCCUUCCUUUCAUCCCCAAUUGCUCAAUGGAAACUCUCAUUUCAUCAAGUCUCUCAAAGCCUAUGCUAGAACAUUGUCAACCUAUUCUACUUACAAACAAGUGGUAGGCUUAUCUGGAUCUUGGUAGGUAGAAACAGUCCUUGCAAAGUAUAAUAGUCAGAAUAUUAUCAAAUUAGGAAACACUUCUAUUGGGUUGUCAAAAAGGUCAUGGAGAAAUAGUUGCUUAUAGAGAGAGAAUGGAACACACACUUUUUUAGAUGGCGGACAUGUGCAAGGGAAAAUAGGUGAUCCCGAGACACAAAUGAAGUUAUUGUUAUCGAGUUGCAUAUGGUUAGAAAAUUUUAGUGUUAACCCUGCUCUUAAUCAUAUGUAACAAGACAUGGCACUCCAUUUAGAUGUUCAAUUAAUAUUCUAGCUUAUUAUUAUGGAGGAUAGACAUUUUUCAAUGAUGAACAAGCCACAAAGAAUUUAGAACAAUGCUCUCAAAUUUAAAUCAACUUCAGAACUUUUCUUUCAAUGGAGCAUAAUUUUCAAACAGGACUAGAUCAACAUCAGCAACAGAAUUCUUGCAAUUGCUCAAUGGAAACUCUCAGCUCAUCAAAUCUCUCAGAGCCUAUGCUAGAACAUUGUCAACCUAUUCUACUCAUAUAAACAAGUGGUAGGCUUAUCCGGAUCUUGGUAGGUAGAAACAGUCCUUGCAAAGUAUAAUAGUCAGAAUAUUAUCAAAUUAGGAAAUACUUCUAUUGGGUUGUCAAAAAGGUCAUGGAGAAAUAGUUGCUUAUGGAGAGGGAGAGACUGGAACACACACUUUUUUAGAAUGUUGACAUGUGCAAGGGCAAAUAGGUGAUCCCGAGACACAAGUGAAGUUCUUGUUAUCUAGUUGCACAUGGUUGGAAAAUGAGUAUGGAUUUACCUUUAGGGGACUGGGAAAUUUAUGAAGCUCAAAGAACUAUUGAGAAUUUUUAUUAUCAUCUUUCUUUUUGCUCUUUUUCUUCUUUUUCUCAUCUCAUUUUUAAUUUUAUUUUUUAAUUUUUUUCUUUUGCUUCCUUAGAACUUUUUGCAACAUAAUACUUACUUAGCAGUGGUCAGAGAUAACGCGAUGACUCCAACCCCCAUGCUUGAACGAUGCUCGUCCUCGAGUAUGAAAGAGAGAACUAUUGUGACCCUUUUGAGAUUCAUUUGAUGCUUUCAUGAUCAAGAUCACCUGCACUCCACCUAUAUAUGCUAAACUCCUACACUAGUAGUUCACAACAAUUAUCACCCAUCCAUUCCACAAAAUAAAUACUCCACUACAUAUGUUGAUUUCUCUCAAGUUAUCAUUACAAAAGAAACAUGGGCUAUUGAAAAAGAGAGGGACACAUGAAGGUCCCAGUAUAGAAAAAAAUAUGAACACAUGAAGGUCCAAGUAUUAAAAAAAUGAAGAAAAAAAGGAGUCGGACACAUGAAGGUCCAAGUAUGUGAAUAAAGUGGAAGAUAGCCAUGUUCUCAAUAUUAAAUAUGUCCAAAGGGAGAGAGAUUAUAUAAAAUGGAGUUUCCAUACAUUCCCUAUCCACCACCCACAUAUUCACACACAUGCACAUCUUGAUCUGAUUGUAUGACUUGUUUUCUCCUUAAAUCCGGUUUUUGAAUUUGCAAUAUAUGUAAUACAAGUAUGCUUUAUUUUCAUCCCCUACCUUGAGCUCCACAAAAAGCUUUAUUAGAAGUAGGAAGGAAAAGAGGCAAACAAAUGCCUCGGUAAGGAACCAUACACAUUGAGCGAUCUGAGAUAAUCAUUCGAGGAGCAAGUCUAUGCUUUGUUCUGAGAAUAUUUCAAAAACCUAAGAUAUCUGAGUACGAGAAGUUUGUUACUUCUCUUCUUCCUUUUUAUAUAUGUGCUCUUUUAUUGUACACAAUACUAAGCUAUACUACUGUUCAAAAAGGACUAGUAUACAAAUAUUUGACGGUUAAGAUUAAUUGUAUACUACUGAAACCUUCACCUGUGGUAUGGGUAGUAUACAUGACUAGUAUAAGGGUAUUAUGGUAAAAGAACACAAAUGAUAUCACUAAAAUUUUAUUUUUGACACUAGCAUAAAGUUUAAAAUGCCAUUUCAUUUGAAAUAUCACUUUUCACAUGUAAUAAUUACUAAAUCAUGAAUAUUUAUAUCUUAUAUAUACUUAUAUACUACUAAGUAGUAUAAGCAGCAGGGGAUUACCCCUCGUGUUCCUAAAGAUAAAAUAGAUUACAACUCCAGCGGACGUGCUACAAUUCUUCAGGGCGCCGUGCCUGCCCUGAAAAAUUCCUGAAUGAGGGACGAUUUGCCGAUGAAUACUGCUGAAAUCAACAAGCUGGCCAAGAGCCUUAAAAAGUGGUUGAAUGUUGAAAGCUAAAGUAAGCAAAGCGCACUUGAUCAGUCCAACACACAACUUCCACAAAUUAAACAUGAGCUAGCACGAAGCAGUUCAUCACGAGAUCGACACACGACUGUGCGGACAUGAAGUUGUUGAUGCAUGCGGUCUCUGAUCAUCACGUACCAGCAGGCGGUGAUUUACCAUUACCGCCUGCCACUGCUGGCGGAGGAGACGGUGCCGGCGGAGUGCUCCCCCAUGAGACCGGGUACUCCAGUUCUUCUUCCGUCUUGCAAGGGACCUUGCCGCCGUCCGGGGUGCUUGCAUCGCUACGGAGGAAGGUAACCGGCCAGCAGUAAUAGGUCUUGUUGAUGAUCUUCUCCGAGUGAGCACGCUUGUAGCUGGUCUCCACCACCACCAUCACGGGGAAGCUGCGGUGGUGCCUGUCGGAGAGGUAGUGCACCGACGCGUAUUGUCCUUGCCUGUAGAGGCUUACCCACCUCCUGUACCUGUGCGAGCUGUGCGGCUGCAGGUCGAAGAUGACGUUCGUCUCCGGCUGGUACCAUAAGAACUGCACCAUCUCCGUGAAGGAAGCAUUGGGGUUGUCUAUGACCCUGAUGAUGCUGAUGUUGCACUGGAUCUGGCCGCGGCCGCUGGGGUUGAGGGCGUCGACGAUGAUCAGCAUCGGCACCUCUCCCGCUGGCGAGUACACAGACGUGGUGUUGUCGUAAAUCCACCACCAUUGUUGUGUCUGGACAUAGCCGUAGCUCUGGAGGUCCAUCUCCACGGGGCGGUUGACGAAGACGAUCACCAUCACCACCACCGCGACGGCGAGCACGGAGACCACGACGGCCACCAGUGAGCGCACCGUGGCUAGGAAGGGGAAUGUAGUGUUCUGGCCAGCGCGGCAUGUUGCCAUUUUUUCUCACGUAGGUAGCUAGGGCGGUGGAUGAUGGACUUGUCCGCUAGGGACCUGCAGCCAUAUAUACACAUAAAUUACUGACCGAAUGUUCAUUCCCUUUUUUUGGUUAGAUGACUCAGAUUAGUCUACCGGUUAACAGGGGGCUUGGCUAACAAUUAGGCUGCCUAUUAACCUCCUGUUAGGAUCAGCCAUGGCAAAGUUUUGACGGUUAACGAUCUCCCUAUAUAUCUAAACAAGUUCUUAGGUCAUGUUCCGUUCUUUAGGAGCUCCUAAAAUUCAUGUCACAUUCGAUGUGACAUGAAUUUUAGUCUGGACUAAAGAACCAAACACCCCAUUACUCCCCUCCCCCUCCCACCUCCCACACCAAUGUUCAAAAUUUUGGCCGAAAUUUCAUGAAAUUUGAUCUUUUGGUAGUGACCGAAAUUACUAUUUGCCCGAAAUUUCGGUAUGUCAACCGAAAGAUGCACUUUUUGCACCAAAUUUCACAUGAAAUUUCAUGAAAUUAGGUGUUUUCGAUGGGGACUGAAACUUUUCUGAAAACAAAAUCCCAAUCCCUGCCCCACACCGUCCAAGUAGAAUUAGGACACACUCUUUAUACAGUGAUAAUUCAGGCUUCUGCCAACCACAGGAACCGGAGUUGUUUAAUUUUUUGGCAAAAUGUCGUGCAGAUGCUUACAUACAAAGCAUUCGUACAUGCACCAAUUAUGAGUACUUCUGCAACACCGUGUCAUUAUGCUUUCAAUAUCUGGUCUUUAAAAACCUUAGAUUUACCUAUGAUGACUUGGUUAAUUAAUCUCAAGAUCAUCUGCUACCUAGAGUUUUGGUGGCACUGGAUCAUAGGGCACAGUUGUAUGUGUAUUCAUCAGAAUGAGUGCAUGUGCAUCUAUAUGAUGUCCGUGUUUUUUUUAAAAAAAUAAACCUGCGCAGGUCAUGAUGCUUCCACUAUCCUGUCUUAUCUGUUUGGAUACCAGGGGCUAUACUUUAGCUCCUGUCAUAUCAGAUGUUUGAUACUAAUUAGAAGUAUUAAAUAUUGACUAAUCACAAAACUAAUUGCACAGAUGGAGGCUAAUUCGCGAGACGAAUCUAUUGAGCCUAAUUAGUCCAUAAUUUGACAAUAAGGUGCUACAGUAACCAUUUGUUAAUGAUAGAUUAAUUAGGCUACGUCUCGCGAGUUGGUCCAGAAUUUGUGCAAUUAGAUUUAAAAUUAGCUCAUGUUUAAUUCUCCUAAUUAGCAUCAAAACAUUAACUGUGACAAGGGCUAAACUUUAGCCAAGGACAACCAAGCAACAUGCACGCCUAUAUAUGCUCUUUGAUCAGAAAAGGAAAGAAAUAUUCCCAAAAAAAAGGAAUAUGUGCUGCGGUCCAUACACGUUCUUUGAAGAAAUAUUCCAUACUUAUUUUAUGUCAUUGUAGAAGGACUUUGAAUAAGGUUCGAUGGAGUCACGUGGCUGCGUCUGCUGGCAGCUGAUCGAUGAGUCAUAUUACUAUUGGACUUGUGUUUUGGAUGCUUAUGUUUUGGAUUACAUUCAGAAUGUACGGGCAGGGGCGAAGCCACGUAUAAGAUUUUUAUUUACCACUAAUUAGACUCAAAAUUACCAUAUAAUCCUAGCUUGUAAAUUAAAAUUUACAAGUCUCUUGAGCAGUGCACCACGGUCAAUUCAGCGCUAGCUUCGCCCCUUUGUACGGGGAUUAUGCAACCCAGAAACGACGACUAAGAGCCUCAUUUCCGGACAUGCGUCCCUAUGAUCCUUUAUAUACUCCAAAUGUCUGAGUGGCCGGCUCAUACUUGCCAUGGCGAUGUCUAUCCCUCCUCUCAAAGGAUGGAGCAGCAAGCUCCUUGUAGUUGCGGCCAUGAUAGGAACCCUGGUCGUGGUCGCCAUCGCCGCCGUCAUCAUCGUCGGCCUCACUCCGCCACUGGUCUUCUUCUCCAUCCAAGAUGCAAGCCUCCAAGGCGGGCAGUUGAAACAGCAAAAAUUCUACAACUUCACCCUCUAUGCCAACAACACCAGCCGGCGCAUGGAGGUGCACUAUACCAACCUCAACACCGAGAUCUGGAUAGCCCCGUCUGAGUGGUACCCGGCCGAGGUGAGCAUGAGCGGGUUCGAGCAGCCACCGGUGAGCAUCAACGGGUACAAGCAGCCACCGGACAACGUGACCAAGGUCGCCGGGUGGGCCGAGUUCUAUCAGACGACGUCGUUGACGGCGGCGGCGCAGGGCGGCGGCGCGGGGAAUUGGCCAAACUGCACUGUGGUGGUGAUGGCCAAGGUGUUGUUCAAGGUCGGGCUGGCACGCACACGGCCGUACCACAUCAGGGUGUUCUGCUUCCCCGUCAACUUCCUCAAUACGACUCGGUACGCCAAUUGUACAUACUGAUCUCGAUCGACGUGUAUGCAUGCAUCCAUGUUGUUGAACGUGUACAUGACUGUUGUGACGUGCUCCUUUACCAUAGCUUCAGAUCCUGACUUGUAGCAUUGACAGAGUAUGCGUCUAUUAUGGCAGAGAGCCUCUUGUACAUGUAUUUAACUCAAUCCAGAGAUCAAUAAUGAAAGGAUGCGGUUUUUUUUUAGGAAACAGGAGGGGAAGUACCCCUGCUGAUUAUAUAUUAAUAUAUAGUUGACAGUACACUAGUGAUACAAACCUUGUUUAUGACACAAAGAAAGAAACAAAAAAGAUUAAGAAAAUUACAGUGAAUGCUCUAACCAUUGAACCAUUGAUUGUUUCCAAGACUCUCUGACACGAAAUACUACCAAACUGAAAAUCUGUUUGAACCGUUCCUUUGCAGCUUGAUAAGCUGGCACUAGGGCCUUUGAAGAUGCAGUCAUUGCGUGUCAUCCAAAUACUCCAGCUCAUAAUUACGAUAAUUUCCAUAAAGAAAGGCACUUGCAACUGGUUCCAGCUCAUAAUUACGAUAAUUUCCAUAAAGAAAGGCACUUGCAACUGGUUCCAGAAGCUAACGAGAAUAUCAUAAGGUUGUUGCUGCAAAUCCACAAAGAGGCCGAGAUUGAUCCAACACUCCUGUGCGAAUGGACAAUCUAGUAAUAGAUGAAAGAGGGUUUCUUCCUUGUUGUGGUUCCAGAGGACGCAGUUAUAGGAAGGGAGAGCCAUCUGCUUUCGUUUAAGCUCCACUGGCGGCAGAGCCGCAUCCUGUGUCGGCUCAUCCGCGGCAUCCUGUGGGUGCGAAGCAUGCUAAGCCACCCUAACCUCUGCUUCAAGCAGCUCUCCGUGCUAGGGUUCUUCCAACUGUCGUCGCCUUCGCCGUUCAUGGUGCCAACCAAGGCAGUGCCCAAGGAGGUAAUUAAAGAUUUCUUCAUCGGUAAUGUCGCGCGGUUCUUGGUUUCAAGUACUGCCUGUAUUUUUUUAUUUUUUAUUUUUGCCUUGUCAUUUGGUCCGUCAGAACUAAGUUUGUCGAAUUCCUUCUGAAUAAGCUUGAGACGCUGGUCGUGCUUGUUUGUUGGUGUGCCUACGUGCCGCGUAGUUGUCGUAGCAAAUACUUUCGGUUCCAUAUCGCCUGUGACUGGACCGGGAUGUUCUUCAAUCUGUUAUGGCCCUGUAUUCUGUUUUUAUAUGGAUCCCACAUAUAAUCAAUUUCCAACAUUUGCUUUCCUCUGUACAUUCAGCAUGUUGUCUUUUUUUUUUUUUUGAAGCGCAUUCAGCAUGUUUCGCAGAUGUUUGGAAGGAUGAUCCAAAUUCUGAAUGCACAGACCCUGUUGGGAAAUUGAUUUCCCCACUGCGUGUCUGUGUUUACAUGCAUCUUCUAACUGUGGUUCCAAUGGCCCGUCUAGGCCCAUACAGGCCUAUCAGGUGGAUGGGCCGGCCGGCCUCCUGGAUCAACAAGACCGGUAUCCCUUCUUGGCCCGUCCGCCCCCGCUGUAGAAACAAAACCAGAACCAGCAGAUCCCCCGGGCCCUGAAGAGAAAGACGAUGGCAACAGAAGAAAGAGCUCGCGACGAAGCCGGCGAAAGCCCCCCAAACCCUCCCCAGCCCAGGCAGCGGCGGCGCGACGAGAUGGCCGACGACCCCACCGCCGGCGGCGGGAACACCGUCGAGGACGUCGUCCGCGCGGAGGUGAGCAUCCCCGGCCGGCCCUCGUCCUCUUUGCUGCGAGUGCCGGGGAAUCCGAUCUCCGCCCGGGCCGACCUGGCUCUGCUCGGCUGCCUCCCGAUCUGCCCGCGCGGGUGGCGGCGCCUCGCCCCUAGUUCGGUUUCGGGUUAGAGGUGUCCCAGCGUGGUGUCUGGGCGGGGGGAAUCCGGCGACGAGGCGUUCUCCCUCCCGUUGGCUCGGUUGGCGCGGACGGACGCGGUGGGCCUGGUUGGGGAAAUCUGUGCCCGUUUCGAUUUGGGUGUAGAAUAGGUAUACGUCUUCAAAAUUGAUAGAAUUAGGCCCGUUUAUAAAAAAUUGAUAGAAUCUGCCUGCAAGGCGCGGUUUCCCAGCUGGCCCGUCCUCAUUUACUAAUCCCCACCAAGCUUAGCAUCUUUCCUUUCGAUGAAAUAAAAAAAUGUUAAUGUCAACAGCUCCUCGAUUACCGCAUAGAUUAACACCUCUUUAGCCUUUGUGGCACGGCACCUAAUACUUUCCUCACCUUUGCAGUGCCGUGGGCCCGCCACUUCCCUUCUGGCCCACAAGUCAUGGAGGCGCGCGAGGAGGGGUAUCGGUUUCACGAUGAUUAAUCAAGAAAGGCCCAAGACACGUCACGCUGGGGGUGGGGGAGGGAAGACACCGCACCGCAUGCACCUGCAUGCACCUUUGCCUUUGCUUUUCCCCGGCGUCCUAGGGACCUCGAGCUCGCCCGCCUAGGAGCUCCAGCAGCCGGGCCGCUCCGCCGCCGGUGCGGCAACCACGCCGCCGUCAGACCACCUCGCGCGGCCACCCCGCGCCGGUGCGCCGUGCGCGGCGGUGCUGUCCCGCCGCUCCUCCGCCUACCGUCCUCCUGCGCCACCACCAGCUAGCGCACCGGCAGCACCGCGAGCUGCCGCGCCGCCCCGACGACGUUGGUCAUUCCGGAGCCCGGUGUCGUCACCAGCGUCGCCGGAGAAGGUAAUUACCUGAAGCAAUUUGUAGAAACGAAUAGUACUGGUUCGUUCACUUAUUUCAUUGCUCAAACUUAAUUUCUGCUUAUUAGAGUUUGUGCCUUGUCGUGAGACUAAAUUAGCUGCUUAUUCUGCAGGUUGCAUUCAGGAGAUCGAGCUGCCGGAUCGGAGGAGGUCAUAUCAGCCGUGUUGGUUGUGCACUUGUGUUGCUGCCGGCGGAGAAGGAACCAUGGUGAUCGGGCCACUGAUCUCCAUAAUGUAGUUGAACUAAAAUAAUCCCCUUCUGAGUUUAGCAUCUUUCCUUUGGAUGAAAUAAAAAAUUGUUAUUCCGGAUCCGUAAUCUCAACUGCUCCUCCAUUACACAUAGCAUCUUUCCUUGAGUUUAGCAUAUUAUUUCAACAUUUCAAAACUCUAGAUUCAACAUUUCUUGAAACUUAGUGCAACAUUUUAGAUAAAUCGAUUCAACAUUUAGCAUAGUAUUGUUGAAAAUGUUGAGCUAGUAUAUGUUAUUUCAACAUUUCUGCAAAGCUAGCUCAACAUUGAGGUAAUGUAGUUCAACAUUUUGUGUAGUAUUGUUAAAAUAGUGUAUCUAAAAUGUUGAGCUAAUACACAAAAAGUGUUGAGCUAGUAUAUAUUAUUUAAACAUUUCAAAAGUCUAGAUUCAACAUUUAUGGAAACCACAUUUUAGAUAAACUGGUUCAAUAUUUUGCAUAGCAUUGUUGAAAUAGUGUACCUUAAACGUUGAGCUAAAUAUAUAAAAAUGUUGAGCUAAUAUAUCUAAAAUGAUGAAACUAAGAAAAUAAAAAUGAAAAAAAUAUAUACAGUCAUGUGGGAUCUUAAUCCGUUAGAAAAAUUUCGAAAAGGCUCAUAGUUUAAUCGGAAUUAAAAUUAAAUGCACCGUUAGAGAGAUAAGUAAGUUGAAAAGUUCGAAAUCAAAACUCACAUCACCCAACAAGUAGCUGAAACCUAUCCGUCCUUUCAGCAGCUCCACCCACCUCGCACCAGCAUACUAGCACAUGGUGGUCCCCAGCCACCUCGAUGCCGUUGCGUCGAAGGAGAGGGCGGAACCGACGAGGGUCGCCGGCGGCUCCCACCCCGGCCGAACGCGUCCUGACCGACUCCGGCAGGGGGCGGCAGGGCCUCCCGCAGGUGAGCGCUUCCAUCCGUGGUCCGCAGCAGUAAUGUCUGAUUUUUCGCUUUCUUCUCCAGAAUUCGUCGCAUAUACUUAUAUGUCAUCGUCCUCUUAUUUUUCGCUUUCUUCUCCAGAAUUCGUCACAUAUACAAAGCUUUCACGAUUUCGAUGAGAGAUUUGGUCAUGUUUGUGGCCACGGAGACACAGUCUAGCUAGCGUAGUGAAAAGUGGCACUAGUGAUUGCAAUACGCACGGAAAUUGGUUUUUUGUCUGUUCUUUCUCCAUCUCAAUCAUCAAUCAAAUGGGGGUAGUCGUCGGUACGCCGGGUGGGCCGAGUUGGCCAAACUGCACAGUGGUGGUGGCAGCCAAGGUGUUGUUCAAGGUCGGGCUGGCACGCACACGGCCGUACCAUAUCAGGGUGUGUCCUGCUUCCCCGUCAACUUGGGGAGGUGGGCCAAGCGACAGCUAGCUGUGGUGUGGUGGGCAUCCAGCAGGCGCGCAGGGCCCAGCCGUGGCCGUGAUUAUGCGCCGGGGUGAGAGAAGAAGACACGGCACCUAAUACUUUCCUCACCUUUGCAGUGCCGUGGGCCCACCACUUCCCUUCUGGCCCACAUGUCAUGGAGACACGUCAGGCUGUGGUGGACAAGGGAAGACACCGCACCGCACGCACCUCCACCACUUGCCUUGCCUUUGCCUUCGCUUUUCCCACUUGUGCUGUGGGAAGACACCGCAUACACCUCCAGCUCGAGCUCGCCCGCCUAGCUAGGAGCUCCAGCAUCCGGUCCGCUCCGCCGCCGGUGCAGCAACCACGCCGCCGUCAGACCGCCUCGCGCGGCCACCGGUCGUCCCCGCGAUACACCGCCGCCGGUGCGCCGUGCGCGGCGGCGCUGUCCCGCCGCUCCUCCGCCUACCGUCCGCCUGCGCCACCACCAGCGCACCGGCAGCACCGCGAGCUGCUGCGCCGCCCCGACGUUGGUCCUUCCUGAGCCCGGUGUCGUCACCAGCGUCGCGGAGAAGCUAAUUACCUGGAGCAAUUUGUAGAAACAAAUAGUACUGGUUCGUUCACUUAUUUCUUUGCUGAAACUUAAUUUCUGCUUAGAGUUUGUGCCUAAAUUAGCUGCUUAUUCUGCUGGUUGCACGCAGGAGAUCGAGCUACGGGCGUACGGCCGGAUCGGAGGAGGACAUAUCAGCCGGGUUCCUGUUGGUUGUGUACUUGUGUUCCUGCCGGCAGAGAAGCAACCAUGGCCGAGUUACUGAUCGGGCCACUGAUCUCCAUGGUGAAGGAGAAGGCAUCCAGCUACCUGCUGGACCAAUACAAGGUGAUGGAAGGCAUGGAGGAGCAGCGCAAGACCCUGGAGCGCAUGCUGCCAGCAAUCCUGCAAAUCAUCCAGGAUGCGGAGGAGAAAGGAGCCUCCCGAUCUAAAGUUGCAGUUUGGCUUAAAGACCUCAAGACAGCGGCCUAUGAGGCCAACGACGUCUUUGAUGAGUUCAAGUACGAGGCGCUUCGGCGAGAAGCCAAGAAGAAGGGCCACCAAAGCAAGCUUGGAGCGGAGGUAGCAAGACUCCUAGUCCCCGCUCGUAAUUCCAUUGUAUUCCGUUACAGGAUGGGCAAGAAGCUAAGCAGGAUUGUGCAGACCAUCGAGGCCCUGGUCACCGAGAUGAAUAAAUUUGGUUUCAGACACUUGCAGCAAGCACAGCCAUCAAGGCAGUGGCGACAGACAGAUUCCAUAAUCAUUGACUCCGACACAGAUAUUCUUAGCAGAUCUAGAGAUCGGGAGAAGAAGAAAAUCGUGGGGAUGCUCCUUGAUCAAGCUAGCAACAUGGAUCUCAUGGUUCUUCCAAUUGUUGGGAUGGGUGGGAUGGGCAAGUCCACCUUUGUGCAACUCAUUUACAAUGACCCUGCAAUCGAGAAGCACUUUGAGCUUCGGAGGUGGUGCUGCGUGUCAGAUGAUUUCGAUGUCAGUACCAUUGCAAGCAACAUCUGCCAGACCAAUGAGAAAUAUCGUGAAAAAUCAUUGCAGGAGCUCCAGAGUACAAUAAGUGGAAAAAGAUACCUCAUUGUGUUAGAUGAUGUAUGGAAUCGGGAUGCUGAUAAGUGGGGAAAACUAAAGACCUGCCUUAAGCAGGGUGGCAAGGGCAGUGCGGUACUAACAACAACUCGUGAUGCAGAAGUGGCUCGCAUUAUGACCAUGGGUGUAGCUCAAGCCCAUAAUAUCGAGAAUCUGAGUGACGAGCAUUUAAAGGAAAUUGUCCAGAGCAGAGCAUUCAGCUUGCAAAAUCCAAAUAUGGAAGAGCAAGAUGGCAUUCUCAGUGGAUUUGUUCGUCGAUGCGUUGGAUCUCCCUUGGCUGCCAAAGCCUUUGGCUCUAUGUUGAGUAACAGGACUAGUGUAAAUGAAUGGAAGGAUGUAUUAGCUAAAAGUGACAUUUGUAGUGAGAAAACCGGAAUUUUACCGAUCCUCAAGCUCAGUUUUGAUGACCUAUCCUCAGAUAUGAAGCAGUGCUUUGCAUUUUGUGCUUUAUUUCCUAAAGAUUAUGAGAUUGAUGUGGACCUCUUGAUUCGACUGUGGAUGGCACAUGACUUCAUACCUGUGCAGGAGGAUGACAAUCUAGAAACCAUAGGAAAAUAUAUUUUUGAGGAGCUAACUCGGAGGUCAUUCUUUCAAGAUGUCAGGCAAACACUUCAAUUUGACUAUUUUGGAAGCAGGUUGUCGCUUCGUAAGUCAACCAUAUGCAAGAUACAUGAUCUCAUGCAUGACAUUGCUCUAUCUGUUCUGGGGAAAGAAUGUGUCACUAUAGUUGGUAAGCCGAGCGUCAACAAGCUGUUGCUAAAUCCGACCCGCCACGUCUUCUUAUCACUAUAUGGUUUCAAUCCUACUUUCUGGAAAGAACAGGUUACAAGUCUACUAGAUCAUCUAUUGAAGAAACAAACUGCAAUGCUCCAUACGUUGUUUAUCAAAGAUUAUGGUCAACCCCUUGAUAUAUCAAAGUACACUUCACUGCGAGCAUUACACCUUCCAGCAAAUGAAGAGCUAAGGUAUCCUAAUCUGUCGCCACAUGAACAGCUUACAAGACACAUACAACACCUAAGGUAUCUUAAUCUGUCAUCACAUUGGUUCGAGAAACUUCCUGAAGGUAUAAGCAUUAUGUAUCAUCUACAAACGUUGGACCUCUCUCAUUGCAAAUACCUUCGUCACCUUCCAAAGGAUAUGAAGUAUAUGGCAAACCUCCGACACCUCUAUACCCAUGGAUGCAUAUCAUUGACAUGCAUGCCUCCAGGACUUGGACAGAUCACUUCUCUGCAGACUCUAACAUAUUUUGUUAUUGGUGAUGGCUUGGGAUGUAGUACUAUUGGGGAACUUCAAAACUUAAACCUUGGUGGAGAGUUAGAGUUAAGUGGUCUGCAAAAUGUAACAGAAGUGCUUGCAAAAGCAGCCAGUCUUGAAAAUAAAGAGAGACUCACACACUUAUCUCUCGCGUGGAAUGAUGAUGCCCGUGAGAAACCAGAUUCUCAUAAUGAGGUGUUAGAUGCCCUUAAACCUCAUCACCGGCUAGAGAUGCUAAGAAUAAAGUCCUACAAAGGCACCAAAUUACCGUCAUGGAUAACAGAUCUUAGUCUGUUGCAGCACUUGACUGAGCUCCAACUGGUUGGUUGUAGGCUGUGCGAGGAAUUUCCUCAAUUCUGCCAUUUCAAAGCCCUUGAAGUUCUGUAUUUGAAAAAGUUGGACAAAUUGCAAAGCCUAUGCAGUCAUAUGGUGUCUACGCCAUUUCCAGCACUGAAGCAACUCCAGUUACAUGAUUUGGAGAGCUUGGAGAGAUGGGUCGCAACAGAAGGAAAAGAAGAUGAAUUAUCCUUUCCUGUACUUGAGGAGGUUGAAAUAGAGAACUGUCCAAAGUUGACUAGCCUACCUGAAGCACCAAAGCUCAAGGUUGUAAAGCUGGAUGAAGGCAAGCCGCUGCUCUCCUUAGGAAUAGUUAAAUCAAGGCACAUGUCUUCAAUUUCUAAGCUACUACUGCGUGUCCGUGACACAGAAGCACUGCCUCAGAUAGAUUAUAAUUGGGAUUCAUCACAGAAACUGGAACUAUCUUUGGGUGGCACAGAAGCCGCACCUCUGUCACAACUGAGCAUAUUUGGCUGCAACUUUUUAUUCGUAUCAAGCCACUCACAGCUAACACCUGGGGUCUGGAAAUGGUUUGAACAUCUUGCAGUUUUAACAAUUGCAAAAUGUGAUGUGCUCAUCUACUGGCCAGAAGAAGUGUUCCAAAGCUUGGUAUCUUUGAAGUACUUGUUCAUUUUCUCCUGCAACAAGCUAAUAGGGCCCACACAAGCGAAAGGUGACAAACCUACACAAACAACAGAUCAAGUCCUGCCACAUCUAAACAUGAUACGUAUACACAAUUGUGAAAGCAUGGCACAGCUCUUCAUUCUUCCCCCAUCUAUCAGAAUUAUUCAUAUUUUUGAGUGCCCUAAGCUUGAGUUCAUAUGGGGAAAAGAGGAGCAUCUUGACACAUAUGCAUCGCUGGAACAUUGCCGCGACCCUGCAUCCACCACUGGUAACCUAGAGCAAUCGCCGUCUCCAAUUAUUCGCCGUCCAUGCCUUGUAGAUCUAACUAUAAGAGGAUGUGAUAGCCUGGUAACACUUCCAAAUCUACCACCGUCCCUCAAGGAAUUAUUCAUCCGGAAGUGUGAGAAGCUCUGCUCUGUGUCAGGAGACCUGUGUGCACUCGAGACCCUACAGAUUGUUAACUGCAAUAAGUUACAGUCAGUCAAUUCCUUGGGAGACCACCCAUCAUUAGAAACACUGUUUCUUUCUGGCUGCCGAUGCCUUGCAUCUUUAGGAUGUGAUGGUGGUCGUGGGAGUUACUCUGCUCUUCAGUGCCGUGAGAUCGAAGACUGCCCAGCCAUAGAUAUGAAGCAGUUUUACUAACGCCAUCAAACAGCUGCUUGACAGCUUUGAAUAUGAAGACGUAUCACACGUUCAUUCAAGCAGCUCUGAUGAAGGUACGACCUUUCACUUUCCUCUUAUUCAAUUUGUUUCCUUCAAAUUUCCCUUCUUUGCAUGCCCUCCUAUUUUGUUGACGAUCUGGUUUAUAGAUGGGCUUGCGGGGUGGGAUUUUGGGGUUUCAUCUUCGUUCCGGCUUUUAGACGGUCCUUUCUCACUGACGUGACCCCACAUAUAUUUUAGUUUAUACGGCUAUUGGUUUUCAGUCUUCGAUGCAGUUGAAGUGCAUAGGGAAAUUCUGGAAACAUGUUCUAUCCCUUGGUGUUGAGAUCAGCUGAUGCGGAAUCACUGAAGUACUACUGAAACGAGAUCCUGAUCGGUCUCAGUUGUGGAGAGCAAUUUGUGAUGAAUGGAAGCAGUCCCAAGGCUUCAAGAACUCAUGGAGUCGUGCUGUACCAUUCUCCACUGCCAGGGCCUAAACUAGGUACAUGGAAGGCGCACAGGUUGGGAUAGUAAAAAACCAUACCUUUGUCUGUGUUAGAGCAACUCCAAGAGGCUGCUAAUCUUACCCCAAUACCUUUUUUAGGAAAAAAAAAGAGAAAAAAUGAACUCCAACAAUCCACCUAAACCUUCCCCAAUUUUUUAGCGACGCUAAAAAACAGCCUGCCAUCGCGUAUAUUUUAGCGUUGGCGUUCCUUCCCCAAUCCUGAUUCCCGCACACCCGCGCGUCCCUUCCGAUGGGCCCAAUACGAUGACGUGGCCUGUGUUUGAAAUAUUGGGGGCUAUUUAUUAGCGAUCUGUUGUGGACUGAUAUGCUUUUGGGGGAAAUUUUUUUUGGGAGAACCCCCAAUACAUAGUUUUGGGGAAGAAUUUUUUAGGAUACUCUUGGAGUUGCUCUUAGAGCAUCUUCAAGAGUCUGCCAAAAAACUCUUCCCCAAAACCACAUCAUCCCACAAUAGAUCCCUAAUAAUAAAUUUUCCAAUAUUUUAAAAUUUGCCACAUCAGCAUGCGUGGACCCUAAGCUGGGCUGCCCCCUUCCCCCGCUGGAGCGUUUUCGCGCUUUCGCACUGUGGCUGCCUGAGCAGGGGUUGGUCUGUGCUGAUUUGCUGAACCAUGCAUAUUAUAUGCACUGGGACUGUCAUGCCCUCAGAAAAGCAUCAUCAUCUACUGGUAUGACGUCAAUUCAGCCUCAAACUCUCAACACUGAAGGCCUUCGAGGACUAGGACUACGCCAGCGCCACCCAUUGAAUCCCAUCCCCAUCUCGGCCACGUGCCAUGCCAUGCCCAGCCGUGGGGCACUGGGCAGCCCACGUGCAGCCACUUGUGGCCACGGACGCCCAGCCAGACCAUCACCCCCAAGAGGAGGAACGCCUUAUCUUUUCACCAUGAGAAAGCAGAGUCUAACGGUCCGUGGGCAAUAGGAAAAUCAGCACCGGCGGACUCCUGUGUUCACCUUCAUAUUUUUCGUGGUCUAUAUUAUGCGAGUUAUAGCAGUCCUAGGGAAUUUGUUUGGUGUCUCGGAGUUGUCAUAUUCCUAUUAAUGAUUGUGACAGCUUUUAUAGGAUACGUACCACCUUGGGGUCAGAUGAGCUUUCGGGGAGCAACAGUAAUUACAAGCUUAGCUAGCGCCAUACCAGUAGUAGGAGAUACCAUAGUGACUUGGCUUUGGGGUGGUUUCUCCGUGGACAAGGCUCUUGGAGUUGCUCUUAAUCAAUUCUCAUUUAGCACUCUGUUGUUAACAUGUUACCCCCAUGCUUUUCAUUUUUUCUGUGCAGACAUGACCCAUUUAUCCUUAAAAGGCAUAAAGGAGGGCACUCACAUGUACGCACGACUGGCAACUGGAAGCUUCGUUGCAAGCCUCUGCUAACGACCAAGUUUGUUUUCACGCCACUAUACCAGCUGCUGGUAAUUCUCUUGUCACUAAUGUCAUCCUGUCAUCCAUCAAAGCCGUGGAGAAUAUGAUGCCACUCUGAGUCCUUCAGUUUGCCACGUGAGCCGAUGAAGCAGAAACAGAUGAUGAUGAUGGAUGAUAUAACUGCGGGGAUGCAGACUUGCUUUCAACGGUCGAAAUGGAGCUACAAAUGAUUAGUCGUAGUCGUGUGUGGUCCUUCCAUCACCUUGUGUUAUUGAUCCCGUUUGUAUGUGUUGCGUUCUCUAUAUCCCUCCAUAGCUUUUCAGUUGUUGUCUCUUUUACGACUAUUUUGAUUCCUCUUUUCCUUUUUAUUAAUAUAACACAAAAAUCCUCUUGCCAUGUUUUUGAAAAAACAAAAUCGUGAGGAUGCUGCUUCAUGAAGCUAGCAACAUGGAUCUCAUAUGGUUCUUCCGAUUGUUGGGAUUGGUGGGAUGGGCAAGACCACCUUUAAUUUGUGCAACUCAUUUAUGACCCUGAUCGUGAUGCAUUUUGAGCUUCAGAGGUGGUGCUGUGUGUCAGAUUCGAAAAUGUUUUUUGACUCUUUCAUCACCGCCUUCAGUAGCUCAUGCCGGUCAGGUCUUCUCCAGUGACCAGUUCCUUCACCUUGGUUGCGCACCCCCUCACCUGGGCUUGCAGCUAGGUCAUAGCCUUGGCAUUCCGCAUCAUCUCAGCCAUGGCAUAGUCUAGUGCUACGUAGGUUGUGUCCGUCCCGGCUUCAAACAUGUCCUUCAUGAACAUAUCCGUAGAACUCCAAUCAAAUUUAACCAAACUAGUCAUGAAACAUGUCAUAUGUACCUCUUGUGAGAAUUAAAUUGGAGGCUUAAAAUCCUUCAAUUAGUAACAGUAAGAAAUUAAUUAAAAUUUGGAGUUUUGUUGCAUACAAGUUGCCAGUCACCAGUACAGAAAUGACCUUUAGUCCUGGUUAGGAAACCUUGGGAAACCUCAAAGAGCUCGGUUUUCCCGACCGGGAUUAAGUAUUCGGGAUUUAGUCCUGUAACACCAUGUGCUUUGCCUUAUAAUGAAAGCCACUAAAAAUUCGAACUUCUAAAAUUUUCCUAUAAACUAAAAUGUGCCUUGCUAUUUCAUACCUCAAAACCCUUUCAAAAUAAAUUUUACAAAACAACCUUCAUCAAAAUUCACCAUAUGCAUUUUAUUGUGCUUGUUUGAGUGUUGUUUGCUUGUGUGCUUUGUUGAAUCUUUUGGUGGCAACCAACCCCUUGACCUCCUUUCCAAAUUUCCCACAAAUCCUUGUUAAACAUCCCUUCGAAUUCCUCAAAUCCAUUCAAACUCCAUUUCAAAUCUCUUCCAAAAUUAUUCAAACCAUUUCCUUGGGUGCAGGCUCAAUUUCCCUCUCCUCUCCUUUCGGCCUGGCGUGGCUUGCUUCUCCUUCUCCCUUUCAGCCCAGCUCGGCCCGCCCCUCCUCGCCUUCUUCUUUCCCGAGCAGGCCACCUCCUCCUCCUCCUUUACUUCCGCACGGCCCGGUCCAGCCCACAACGGCCGCCACCUCUCUCUUCCUCUCCGCACCAGCACCGCCCAUGAGAAUGGCCCGUGACGACCCGGCUCCCACUCCAUGUCAGCAUUGCGUCCGCACACAGCCGCUGAUGAGUAGGUCCCACUCAAUAGCGUCAUCCCCAACCUCGUGUCGUCUUCCCCAAUGCGUCUCGUUGCCGCCGCCUUGUCCCAUCUCCGCCCGUCGCCUAUGCCGUCGUGCCGGCCCCGAAGAAAUAUCUCGCCGCUCCAUCCCAUCAUGGCCCCACCUGUCAUCCCGCACGGUCCUAAAAGAUCUCCGCCGCCCGCUCCACGGACCUCUGUGCACAAUCGACCUCUCGCGGCUAUAAAAGCUGGCGAGCCCCGCCAUCGCUCCCCGCACCUCAAGCUCGAGCUCCCUCCCUCUUCUUCUGCUCGAGCUCGCCUCCUCCCUCUUUAGUCCUCUCCUCCCUCCACCGGAGCACGGCUUCCUCCGAAGCCACGCCUCGCCGAGCCCUGCCCUUCCCUCUUCCUGUCUAGCGCGCCACCGCACAGAACUGCCAGCCAAGCACUAGCGCCGCCACCGUGACAAACUCGAGGAGGACAAAGUGCCGAGCGACGUUGGAUCGGUAACAAGCGGCCCUGAUCUGCCUGAGCUAAUUCGCGUCCCACACCCGAUGACAAGUAGGCCCGAGUCUAACGCCGAAAAUGCCGUCUGUUGGUGACCAGUGGGCACCACAUCAGCAAGCAAGCUCCCAGACAUCACCAUGGCACUGGGAGGGUGCCUCGCAAGCACCACGCGGACACACCCGUAGCAAAUGACACGUCAUCAUGGGUCCACAUGUGAGUUACUGUGUGACACUGUGCGGUCAACAGUCAACACUGACCAGGGACACACCUGGAGUAACUGUGUCGACGGUAAAAUUACUACGCGUACUCAGGUUAGUGUACACGGAAGUCUCGUUUACCCCUUUCCUUGCACAAGCAAGCUCCCAGACAAAUUGUCACUCGCCAUGGCACUGGGAGGGUGCCUCGCAAGCGCCACGCGGACACACCCGUAGCAAAUGACACGUCAUCAUGGGCCCACAUGUGAGUUACUGUGUGACACUGUGCGGUCAAUAGUCAACACUGACCAGGGACACACCUGGAGUAACUGUGUCGACGGUAAAAUUACUACGCGUACUCAGGUUAGUGUACACGGAAGUCUCGUUUACCCCUUUCCUUGCACAGAAAAAUUUCCAAAAAAUUCCUAAAAAUACUAGAGCCACCCUAUAACCCAUCCAAACCUUUUGCACCCCAUUUCCAUCAUACAAAAUUAUGGGAAAAUAAAUUUCACCACUCAGGCACUCAUAAAUUCCAAUAAAUCACAUAAAUUCCCGAUAAAUUCCCAAAAAUCAUCUCUCCUGUCAAACUCCGUUUCUGUCAAUUCUUCCACCAAAAUUCUUCUAAAAUUAAAUCCUUGAUAUCCCUUCCGGUGCCACCAUUAGUUUCUUUGUUUGAUUCUUGAUUUGUUCAUGUAUUGCUCUUCGACCUGUUAGUCACUAACAUCACACAAACCCCUUAUGCUCAUGCAUGCAUAUACACUGUAGCAUGUAUACAACUAUAUGAGUAUACAUACACCCCCCUUCACACACCUACCACCGAUACUUUUUUUAUUUUUGUUUUUGCAAAAAAAAAAUCAAAACUAUUUAGUCCCAGUUGGUAAUACCAACAGGGACUAAAAGGGGCGGGAGGUAGCCACUGGCGCCGUGAUCGUUUUCUUCCGGUUGGUAUUACCAACUGGGACUAAAAGGGGAUAUUAUAUCCCGGUUUUGGGACCCGUGAUAAAAGACCCCCCUAUCUCGACAAGUUAAUCCUAGAUGCAUUUUCGGAAGAUAUGCACCCUACAAACCGGUACUAAUACCGAAUUUUCUAAUAGUGAAUGGUGCCGGUAGGCGUCCCCUUCAGCUGCAUUCUCUUCCAACCUGCAUACAAAGAGUCACUGGAGAUAGCGUGAUACAACCUCGGUUAGUCAGGCGAUCAAAUGAUAUAACCUCGAGUUAAUCUAGGCCGAAGCCAAUUAGCUUCCGUGUUUCUAUCUGAAGCUGGCAGAGUUAGCGCCUUGUCUGGGCGAGCUAAGACCCGGGUUAUAGGCGAAGGGGAUGAGUUUUGGACAGAUCCCCAACAUCUCGAAAAAUUAAUCUCGGUUGGGCAUUGGAGAGUUAUGCUCCUUCCCAACCGGGACUAAUAGUCAGUUUUCUACUACUGGUUGUGUAGAGGUGAGGAGGCGAGGGUUUUAGGUGAGGACGAUGAGGUGGCACCGCUCCCUUUCUCCGAUUCAACUGUCUCUAUAAAAUUGAUAUGGUUAGAUAUGUCAUAUUCUGUGGUACCACCUCGCGAUCACGAUGUGUGUGCCUCUAUAUAUGUUGUGCCAUUGCAGUCCAUUCGAUCGAGGGAGUACCAUAGCGUGACUGAACUACUGAAAAUGAAAAGCCUACACUUCUGCAACAACACAGUCUACCCCUAUGUUUACAACCUGACUUCCUCCUACAUCGACCAGAACAAUGAGGCCACCAUGGUGACCACCACCUUGGUCAUGUUUAUGCUGGCCGUGUUCGUCUUCAACCUCAACCUCUUCAGCCGCUUCUUGGACGUGAGCGCGAUUCUCAACCCUAGCGUCCGCCUCUUCCUCUCCACCUCCCUGUCCCUCUUCCUGCCGGUCAUGUCCUACCUCUUCUCCGAGGCCAAGAACCAAGGUGCAACGACGACCAUGGCUGCUAGUACUAGUAGCUCCAGUUAUGGCGAGCUCGGUGACGAGCUGUCACUUCGAGCUAGGACGAUCCUCAUGUGGAUGCUUCUUGUGGAGCUCCUACGCAAGAAGGUGGAGGCCGUCCUGGUCAACGUGGGCAUGCAGUGGUACUCAGGCGCCAUCGAUCGCUUCGCCCGCAUUGUUUGGCUCUGCUAGCUCGUCUUCUACAAUGUCAAAAGCCCCGGCAAGAAGGCGAUCUACGGCACCUUAUGGGUCCUCACUGCUGCCAAGUUCCUGCAAAGGGUCGUCGUCAAGAUGGUGCUGGAGCGUUCCUUCGCCUACGGAAGGAACACCCAGCUGCUCAACUCAUACAUGGCCCAGAUCAUCCAACAACAAGAGCAAGAGGAGCACUUGGGGUCAUCGUAGGCGGAGCUGUUGAAGAAGUGCGAGUACACCGUGAUGGGAGAAGACAACCUGGAGAGGACGGCUGGCCGGCAUGCAUGGCUACCAGGUCGAGCUGAACAAGGCAGCCGUUGUCACCGUUGGUGACAUUUGGACGCAGGCAGCAGCCGAGCCGGACAGCCUCCUCCGGAGAGAACACCUCAGAAGGCUCUGCCUCUCCUUUGUUCUCUACAAGCUGCUGCGCCGGAGGUUCGAGGACAUCCCCACAACAAGGGAGGAGACCCGGAACUGCCGGAACCUCAUCUUCAAGGGCAUGUUGAAGGAGGAGGCGGAGCAAGGUGCCGAGGUCGCACUGUUCCAGUCUUCAACGAUGAGACCCAGUUCGUUUGCGAGUACUACCAUUCCGUCCUACCCGUCGUCUUGUCCGACCCUUUCUUCUUCAUAGCCAACUACAUCUUGUUUCCCAUUGUAGUUUGUGCCUUCUGCCUCCUAACAUUGAUCAUCUGCGGCAAUGGGAGCGUCCACUACGCCUACCAGAGCAUCAAAAGUGACAACUACAUCAUAUACACUGGCGCGACGACGCUGACCAGAUGCCUCCUGAGAAACAUCGCCCAUUCACCCGAGGUGCUAGCUGUUCGCCAGCAUCGACCUAGGCACCACCACUCUGCUCAUCCUGGCCUUCGUCUACGAGGAAGUCGUGGAGGUCCUCGUCUUUAUCCUCUCCAAUUGGCUCAUCGUGUCGCUCAUCUGUCAGUACACCGCCAAGCUCCACUGGCGGCAGAGCCGCAUCCUGUG
rnacentral:lncRNA from 1 species